AGUGAACGCUGGCGGUAGGCCUAACACAUGCAAGUCGAACGGCAGCACAGUAAGAGCUUGCUCUUACGGGUGGCGAGUGGCGGACGGGUGAGGAAUAAAUCGGAAUCUACUUUUUCGUGGGGGAUAACGAAGGGAAACUUACGCUAAUACCGCAUACGACCUACGGGUGAAAGCAGGGGAUCUUCGGACCUUGCGCGAUUGAAUGAGCCGAUGUCGGAUUAGCUAGUUGGCGGGGUAAAGGCCCACCAAGGCGACGAUCCGUAGCUGGUCUGAGAGGAUGAUCAGCCACACUGGAACUGAGACACGGUCCAGACUCCUACGGGAGGCAGCAGUGGGGAAUAUUGGACAAUGGGCGCAAGCCUGAUCCAGCCAUACCGCGUGGGUGAAGAAGGCCUUCGGGUUGUAAAGCCCUUUUGUUGGGAAAGAAAAGCAGCAGGUUAAUACCCCGCUGUUCUGACGGUACCCAAAGAAUAAGCACCGGCUAACUUCGUG
rnacentral:rRNA from 1 species